rnacentral:tRNA from 2 species
CGGGGUGUGGUGUAGCGGUAGCACGCAUCCUUUGGGAGGAUGUAGCUCGAGUUCGAGUCUCGGCACCCCGACCG